CCUGACAGGACAUGUCCGCAGGCACUUCCACUGUGUAAUUCUGAAGAAUGACAAAGAGGAGUCCAAUAAAUCUGCUUCUGUUCUUCCUGGGUUUGUGCCGCCUCUAAACAGGCAAUAGCGUCCCUCCCCUCCUCCCUGGACCCCCGAACAACUUGGAGAAUAGCUAGGACCUACGCUUCUGUCUCCUAGCGUGUGAAUGUGUGCGUACAUGUUUGUGGGACAGGGUCAUUGGAUAACCGUCUCAGAGGAGUGGGAGCAUCCUAACAGGUGGGCUUUGGAGAGAGAGUGGAGGCGGACCAUCGAAGCGCACCAGUGCACUUCCAGCCACUCGCCGGCAGCUGCUCAGUUCUAGACAUGACUAACAGAUAUUUCACUGCUGAAGCAGAUGGUGAGAUAAGUGGUAAAGUCCUGAGAAAGACUGGUCUAUUGAGGAAGCCUGUCGUCCUGUUGGUCUGCCAUUCAGAUUGGAUGAAGAAAUCCAGGCAUACUGAACAAGCACAUUGAUCUUCCACUGAUAAAUGAUACUCAAUAACCUGAAGGCUUUUUUAUUAAUUAGUUUUUUAAGCUUUUUCUGUCAAUAAAAAAUAGGGGAGUAAAAUCAUGAUGGAACCUGAUGUUGAUGAAGGUAUUAUUUUUUUGUGAUGCUCUGAUUUUUUUUUUCAAGAUGCAUCCAAGAUAUAACAUUUUUCCUAACUGCAAAUGAUGACCACCUAAAGCUGGAGUAAAAUAAAUGAAAAUGUUUACAAUACUUAAAACACGUUCAUUUACCACUGACACCUCCCAUUCAAUUGGUCAAUGUUAAUUAAUAAUGAUAUGUUUUUAUUUUUGAUUUAUGUAAGUCUGUAUGUAUGUAUUUAUACACAUAAUACAUACUCCCAAACAGCAUAUAAUAUGUUUAAUGUGCAUUUUACUUGUGUUCAUUUGUUUUGUUUGUCUGUUUUGUUUUGUUUUAAUUAUUCUGGAAGGUGAAGUCAGCCACUGUGAAAUCAUUCAUUUUUCCCUUUCAAUAACAAAAUUAAAGACUAGAAGAGUC